rnacentral:rRNA from 1 species
GAUGAACGCUGGCGGCGUGCCUAAUACAUGCAAGUCGAGCGAACAGACGAGGAGCUUGCUCCUCUGACGUUAGCGGCGGACGGGUGAGUAACACGUGGAUAACCUACCUAUAAGACUGGGAUAACUUCGGGAAACCGGAGCUAAUAUCGGAUAAUAUAUUGAACCGCAUGGUUCAAUAGUGAAAGACGGUUUUGCUGUCACUUAUAGAUGGAUCCGCGCCGCAUUAGCUAGUUGGUAAGGUAACGGCUUACCAAGGCAACGAUGCGUAGCCGACCUGAGAGGGUGAUCGGCCACACUGGAACUGAGACACGGUCCAGACUCCUACGGGAGGCAGCAGUAGGGAAUCUUCCGCAAUGGGCGAAAGUCUGACGGAGCAACGCCGCGUGAGUGAUGAAGGUCUUCGGAUCGUAAAACUCUGUUAUUAGGGAAGAACAAAUGUGUAAGUAACUAUGCACGUCUUGACGGUACCUAAUCAGAAAGCCACGGCUAACUACGUG